CGUGUAGGCGGUUCAGUAAGUCCGCUCUGAAAGCCCAGGGCUCAACCCUGGGAGGCGGGUGGAUACUACUGAACUUGAGUUCGGAAGAGGAGAUUGGAAUUCCUGGUGUAGCGGUGAAAUGCGCAGAUAUCAGGAGGAACACCAACAGCGAAGGCAGAUCUCUGGGACGUAACUGACGCUGAGACGCGAAAGCGUGGGGAGCAAACA
rnacentral:rRNA from 1 species